UACAGAGGUCUCAAGCGUUGUUCGGAAUCACUGGGCGUAAAGGGUGCGUAGGCCGCACGGUAAGUCAGAGGUGAAAUCCCGGAGCUCAACUCCGGAAUGGCCUCCGAUACUGCCGUGCUCGAGGACUGGAGAGGAGUCUGGAAUUCGCAGUGGAGCAGUGAAAUGCGUAGAUAUUGUGAGGAACACUAGUGGCGAAGGCGAGACGCUGGACAGUUCCUGACGCUGAGGCACGAAGGCCAGGGGAGCAAACGGG
rnacentral:rRNA from 1 species